CCACUUUUCUUCGAACGAGAGAAAAGAAGACUUUUUUGCACAAAAUAAUUUUUUUUCGGAAAAAAAAAACACUCAACUAACCUAAAACAAAACCUCUCUUCCAUUAUUCGAUCUAGCUCCGCCUUCACCUUCUUCUCCACCAUCUACAAAUCUGUAUCAUCCUAAUAUAUAUCCACCUCUCUUCUUUUCUUCGUUGAUUUACCUUCAGGCAUUAUAUCUGUCUCUCUUUUCUUUGUUGAGCAAAACAGCUAAACCUAAACCCCAUACAGCCGAAAAUCCACAACCCUAACUUUCCAUCUUCUCUUCCACUUUCUCCCUUUGCGAAUCUCCAUCGUAUUCUUGGUUUUUUUAUGUGAUUAUUGAUUGCAUCCUACAAGCUUUCUCUCAAUGAUUUUGUCUUCAGUCAAGCUUUCUUUCAGAUUGAGGCUCUUGAUCUUUCCCCACGGUGGGAUAUUUACAUGAUGUCAACAAUCUUUUGGCAACUCUAGGGAUGGAUUCUUCGGAAAUAAUAAAAUUGGUUCAUCCUAGCUUGGAUGGAGCAUGUAAUCCAAAUCACAGAAAUACAUAAGUGGUGCUACACUCGCUAGACUUAACAGCACUGUCGAGUCUCUCAAGGAAGAAAAGCAAAUCCGACUUGAAAAGGUAUUUUUUUCACUUCUUUAUUCAUUUUAGGAUUUUAUUCAUUUUAGGACACACUAAUGAGCAUUACAAAACUUGGCAAAGCACUAACAAACUUGUGGAGUCUCAUGGACACGUCCUACGAAGAAUGCAGGGUAAGACUGCUAUUGGUUUGCAUUUUCUAUAUUGGCAAAAUUCUUCCCCAAAUGUUUUACUGUGACUUUAUCUAGCCACAUUUACAACAUUAAGGAAAACUCCACCUAUUUGGUUAGUGGGGACUUAAACAACUUUGUUUUUCAUCUGACCCCGUGUAAGCUACUCAUGAUCCCAUGGUGGUAUCAACAAAAUUUCAACUCCAGUUUUAUGACUUAUUCAGAUUGCUAUUUUUCUGUAUGGCAGAGAUUCAAGUGGAUAGUUACUGUGGACAAUUAACCAUUUACUAGGGUCCCGUAAAGAGGUGUGUGUUUGUUUCUUCUAAAUUGGACCUAAUCUUAGGAAAAACAUGAAAGUUACCAUGAACUAAUAGGUUCAUUCCACAAUGAUAUCUGUACACGAAUUUAGGUAUCCAUUAAUUGCAUAUUUCUAAAAGUAUAAGAGCAUAUUAUGCUCUCAUUUAUUCUUUUCCUGAGCAGGAUAAAUAUUUGUGCUCCCUAAAUGGUGGAUAAUCUAUUCUAUGAAAAUGCGAUCUUACUCCCAUCUUUGUCUCCCUAAUAAUGCCUAGGAAAAACGCCGGCAAAGACGCAUUAUACUCCUUUAUAGAUUUUCAUUUGUCUCAAUUGAAUGUUUGUAUCUAAAUCAUGAAAAAAAAAAUGAAAAUAUGUUUUUCUUCUCCUUGAAUACAAUGUUUAAUACGUUACUGUUUUUGUUUGAUUUCUUAGCCUGAGAUAUUUAUACCCAUGAGAAUUCCAAAUAGUCUUAACCAUAAUUCCGUGGACAUUUAUGGGCAUGCGAAUUCCAUCUUAGGUUAGCAUUUCUUAGCCUGAGAUAUUUCUUAGCUUGAAAGUCAAUUUCAUCUCCAGCCCCCAUAAUGUAAUGAGUUAUACUUUUCGCUCCUUGGCCAAGUUUGUCACUAUGCAAUUGGUUGACCAUGAACAUUCGUAGAUCUAAUCUUCUCAAUGUUUUUCUUUCUGUUUUUUAUUUGUGUUUUGUUGGUAAUGCUUCUCAAGGAAUAUUUUGUUAAUGUUUGGGACUGGAGAGCAUCCUGACUUCUAAAUUGAUACUGAGGUAGUAAGCAGAGAAAGAUGUAACAAUAGUACCAUGAGAUGUUUAAUAUUGCAUCUGAGUCUGGUGCAUGGCUGGUGGGUAUUCUGGCCUCAUUGUUAACAUCCUUUUAAUAUGGAGGUUUUGAAUUUAUAUUUCUAACAACACAAAAUCUUCAUAAUAAUUCUUUUUUUAUAAUGCGGUUCAAUAUGAAUAGUCGUAACUUUGUAUGACACUCUUUUCUCUUUUCGAAUAGGGCACUCUUCUCUUUCUCUAUUUCAUUUUGGUCAUGGAAAUAUGUGAUAUACAAAAUUUGAGCUCAAGUAAAUAAAUUGUCUAUUUAUCUUGGUACAACAUCUUGGCUAGAGUUAUUGCGAUCUAAUCGAACUGUAUAAAGUCACAGUUCUUCUUGGAUUUGCCCGUCUACUACGAUCAUGCUGGCAUCAGUAGGUUGGACUUUUGUUUUGAUUCUUCACAAAUAAGCUGACUAAUCAUGGUACAUUACAAACGAAGUUAUUUGAUAAAUAUCUGGGAAGGUUUCUAAGUGAUAAGAAUUUUUGGCAAGAAACACCAUUGUUCUGAUUCUUUAAUAUGCUGCAAACCAGAACCAACUUGGAAUCUAGAAUAAUCUUGGUAGACUUAUUUUUCAUGGAUCGACAACAAGGAGUACCACCACUUCAUUGCUGCCAGGUUGAAAAGUGUCACCCAACCAAAAUUGCAUGUGGCUUUUCCACCUAAUGAUGCGCGACGACCACCUAAUGAAUGAUGAUAAUUUGGGAAAAACGAUACCAAGGCUACAAAUUGGGGUCAUUGGUGCACCAGAACUUGCAACUAGAUCUUCUGUUGUGUUGUAAUAUGCAACAGAGCUUUAAUGAGUAAUAUUGGAUGAUGGUAAGGGCUCGAUUUAUCUCCAUUUUUUAUCCUAAAACUAUGUCUUUAUUGUUUAGUUUGUCUAAUUCGGUGUUAUGCAGUAUCAGCUGAUAAUAACAUUAAGCUCGAAUUUCCAAUUAUAGUCGAAUGUGGGACAAAGUGUGAUAAUCAGACUGAGUUGAGUUAAGCUACACAGCUGUAUGCAAACCCCUAGAACUUCAGGGUUAUUCUUUCAAUAAAUUUUUAAUGUUGU